rnacentral:lncRNA from 1 species
GUGAGGGUUCUGUCAUUAUCCACAUUUUAGAGAUGAGGAAACUGAGGCUUAAAAGGGCUAAGUGACCAACCCACUGACACAGCGAUUCGAGCUUAGGCUGGCCCAUCCCAGACCUGGACUGCCCACCUCUCUCCCCUUUCGCAGCCGACCUGGCUGCCAGCUCUCGUCCUUCCUCUGCGGGGUUUGGCUUUUCCCUCCUCUCUUCCCCAGGUGGUCCCGUCCCGGGCACUGCCUCGAGUCUCACGGUGUGCAGGGCCAGGCAGACGAGCUGCUGACUGCAGCUUCGCUGUAAUCUACCGACUCUAACGGCAGCUCAGCUCGCACGGGGCUAGCACAGCGAACACGUGCGCACGGGGAUGGGCGGAGAACCGAGUGACGACAGCAAAGAGCCAGGGGGAGCCAGGAAAAGCUCGAAAAUCAGCGUAACGCUGUUGGAGAUGAGAGGGCACAGCACAAUUUUGAGAGCCAAACAAAGGCGGGGCACAGAGCUGUUGCCUCGAGAUGUGUGGCCUCAGAAGGUCUUGUCGAGGCGAGUGAUGAAAGGGAGGAGGUUCCCGAGGAUACUGGAGCCGGAAGACGCGGCGAGGGUCCGGGAUUCAAGGAGAUUCAAAACCCGUGUCACUGCUGCCAUCUUCCUAGAAUCCCUUUAAAUCCUCAUGGAUUUGCUGACAUUGGGAGCAUCCUGAAAGAGUCCCCAUGCUAGGGUGGCUGCAGUAACAGGUUCUCCCCACUCCAGAAAAAAUCAAAUCAGAUUGUGAAUUUAUUCCCUGACAUUAACACACGGCAUUACAGGAGCAUGUACAUCACAUGGUCAAUUUAUUGGCAUGAGGAUUAUGUCAUCGGGGAAUAAAUGGGAAAUUCUCAAGGUGGCCCAGGCCUGUAGGCUUCCAGUGAGAAAACUGGAGACCACACUCACCCGUCCCACUGCCGUUUCUUUGGGGCUGCCUGUGAUACUGGGUUAUUCCCCUUGCCGAGUUCCACUGUGCUUACCCUGUUGGAAUAUGAUGGUGGACUUGCCAGAGGAGAUGACCAUGAUUUUCAGGAACAGCAGCCCCUCCUUCCUGGUUGAGGCAGCCAGCAGGCACUCCUAUCCAUGAGCCACAGCUCAGCUAAGGCAAUCCAGUCCAGCUGCAUGCCCUCUCUCUGCUUCUGGGGAGGUAGGAAGGACCAGGGGCAUUCAUGCUUGUUUCUAGGGGGCCCUAACUGGAUCUCUGGAUCAAGACCUACUCAGGGGAGAAAGACUACUCUGGGUUCCAUGUUAGGACUGACGGGUGCAUCUUAACUGAGAUGCAGACAGUGGACAAUUCGAACUCUGACCUGAGAGCAAGCCCCAGCCUUGGUGCUCAUAAAUGCUCCGCUUGGUCCUUCACAUUUGUGUUCCACACAGGAGAAGCCAAGUUGUGAGCAGUGCACCUUCACAAGCAAAGCCUCGACUGAAAUCUUCUCUAACAAUUGGCUGGUCACUCCUGAGCGUAAUCUACCCCUUCAGAACACUGGGGAUGAAUUUAGAGACAUCGAAGCCUCCUGAUGAGAAAUACGUGUCCACUCACCGGGAGAACUGAAAUACCAGGAGAUUUCUACACAAAUCUCACAGAGUCCUUCUGGCGUCCUAGGGGUUUGCUCACAUAUAAGGGACUUUCUGGUAGGAAGAGAGUCUCUUUACAUUCUUUAUUAUAUGAUCCUGGUGGCUUUGUAGAGAGAUGGUACAGCUGACAGAUCAUGUCCUGUGGGGCCAGGGAGUUGUGUGUGUGUGAAUGCUCUGUGAACUUGGGCAAACUACUUAGCCUCUCUGAGCCUUAGCUGCAUCAGCUUUGAAAAACAGGAUGAUAAAAUGGAGUCACCUUAUUUGACUUUUAUAAAUACACUUACACAAUUACACAAGUUGUGGGGAUGGGAAGAGAGAGUUGGGGAAAGAGAAAUGAGAGAGAGAGAGAGAGAGAAUGAAUGAUAAACAAUUUAAACAACAGUGGGGUGUAGACCAACGCCCAGCCUGGCAAGGGUGAGCCCAGAGAGCCUUCCCUCCUGGCUAUUGGCAGCCUCCGCAUGGAAGCCUGUCGUUGACUUCUUAAUGAUGAGAGAUGUUCUGGGGGCACUCCAGGAUUCUUGGACAUGGGAUCGUCUUCACAGCUGUGUCUAUUGAAAGCUGAAGUUUCAGUCUCCCCUGCCCCCUGCCCCCUGGAGUGGCUUCCCAGGGGAAAUUCAAGGGCACCUGUGACUGCAUGGCUGCUUUCCUUUCCUUUACUCAAUGCCGUCCUUUGGUGACAGCCGUGUCUCAUGCCAGGAUACAUGAGGUGCUCUAUAGUAGUAUGUUUUCCCUCCUGGGAGGUAAUUUUAUUUAAAUGUGAAGUCAAAAGGAUCACUAAAUAGAACCAUGAGGCAACCACUCUGGGCACCUGCCUGGUGAUAUCCACAAGAGCUGACCACAGGUGCCCCCUGUGCCCAGCAAGUCCUUGGCUGGGCAGUCACACAACAGGCAUGGGGAUGUGUGGCCACCAAGCCCUCCAGGGCAGUGCUAUUUGUAAUAGUCCCAAAUGGGAGAGAUGGCAAACGCCCGCCAAUGGGGCAGCAUGGAUAAAUGGAUGCUGCACAGCAACGGCGAUGAGUGAGCCCCAGCACCCGUGAGCUCACCAGUGUAAUAUUGGGUGGAAGAAGCCAGGAGGAAGGGCAUUCACAUUCUGUGAUUCCAGCUACACUAUGUUUAAAUAUGGGCAGAGCUAGGCUGUGGUGCUGGAAGCCAGGACAGUGGGAUCCUUGCAUGGGGGUGAUGGUGCUGGUAGGUUCUGGUAAUUUCCUCUUCUUGAUCUGGGUGUAAACAUUUUGUGAAAAUUCAAUGAGCUGUACAUUUAUGACUGGUACAUUUAUGACUUUGUAUGAAUAUUAUACUUUCAUAAAACUACUUUAAAAUAUGAUUGUGAACCUUUUUUCACCUAUUUUCUGCCAAUUAGCACCGAAUUGCUCACUAACUAAUGAGUGGUGCUGGUUUUGACUUGCUUGCUACACUGUCUUGAGACAGAUAGGGUUUUCUGUGCUUUGUAUGACCCCCUCUGGAACCAGGGUGGGACUGGGAACACUCGGAAAACAUGUGCUGACAGAUGCUGGGCAUCCCCGUGUUGGUGGAGGCAUGCUCAUUCCUCAGCAAAAUACCCAUAUGGGGUGUUGGCAGGAAAGAGGACAGAAAAGGACAAAGUAUUUGUCUCUGCUAGCGUUCCUGGAGCUGUCUCACCUUGGCCAAGCCCCCGCCCAGUCCUCUCCUAACGUGGACAGACUAGGGGGCAGAAACUAGUCAGCCAAAGAAUUUCCAAGCUAGGGGUUGAUGAAUGCUUGGAUAAUUUGCCCAUGAACACGUUGGAUUCUUCUUCACUUGCCAUCACGGGGGGAUAAGUACCCCAGUUUUUUUUUGGAGAGAAUUGAGGGACUGUGCCAUUGCAGUGUGGAUUUCAAGAGAUUUUAAACGGAAGGCAGAGUAACAGUGUGGUUUGGGAAGCUCUAAAGACAGUUGUCCUGGUGCGGUUUCUUCCAUAAAAGAGUGGGGACGCCAUGGACCUGCUCACCAAAUUCCAGUCCCGACACAGUUCUGUGAGGCACUCUCCACAUCAGGGCAGACGGGCAGGAGGAGUUUACACAGCGAUCUGGGGGCCAUUAGAGCACUGAGGGAUCCAUUGCUGUCUCUUGUUUCUGUUUCCCACACUGUGCUGGGUGCUGGGAACAUGACGAUGAACUUGAAGGAAAUAAUGUGUACGGUGGUUCAUUUCCAAGACAUAGUGCCUUGAAUCAGUUUAGGUCAGCAAACUACAGAAGAAACAGGAUAUACUAGGCCCCUGCUUGGAGAGCUGAUGCCUGUUUGUUGCCCCUCACCCCCUUAGUUGCCCUUACCAGAACCAAAGGAGUUUAGUCUAAGAUGAAAGUUUACUAGCCUGCAAAAUAGCUCACUUUGUCUGUUCUUAUCAGCCUGCCCAGCUACUUAGGUCAUAAGUGAAAUACUUGAAGAGCCCCUGAGCUAACUAGGAUUGCAAUGCAUUGUGGCUGCAACAAGAUGCAGCAAGACAACUGUAAAGAAAAUGCCUAAAACCCCUACCCACCAACCCAUAGGCGAUGUCCAGGAAGACUGUGACCUCCAUAGUACUCAGCAUUUGAGGAACUGGGGGAGGGACCUGUGCACUAGGGGAUAAAUUGCUUGUUGAAACUGUGCUGGGUGUGCCUGUCCAUCAGAUACCCUAUCUUGCAAGACUGUCG